rnacentral:miRNA from 1 species
CUAGCUCUCUCUCGCUCUCC